rnacentral:rRNA from 1 species
GACGAACGCUGGCGGCGUGCUUAACACAUGCAAGUCGAACGGAAAGGCCCUGCUUUUGUGGGGUGCUCGAGUGGCGAACGGGUGAGUAACACGUGAGUAACCUGCCCUUGACUUUGGGAUAACUUCAGGAAACUGGGGCUAAUACCGGAUAGGAGCUCCUGCUGCAUGGUGGUGGUUGGACCGUUUCGGCGGUUGGGGAUGGACUCGCGGCUUAUCAGCUUGUUGGUGGGGUAGUGGCUUACCAAGGCUUUGACGGGUAGCCGGCCUGAGAGGGUGACCGGCCACAUUGGGACUGAGAUACGGCCCAGACUCCUACGGGAGGCAGCAGUGGGGAAUAUUGCACAAUGGGCGGAAGCCUGAUGCAGCAACGCCGCGUGCGGGAUGACGGCCUUCGGGUUGUAAACCGCUUUCGCCUGUGACGAAGCGUGAGUGACGGUAAUGGGUAAAGAAGCACCGGCUAACUACGUG